CUUCACCCACCCCAACCCUGCAGAAGGAAAGGCUAUUUAAGGGCAGUUGGAAUUCAGGAAAAACAAGACAAACCCUUGAAGAAGAAGCUGCAGCAGCACCUGAGAGGCUGACAACAUGAAGGUCCUCCUGCUGCUAACAGCUGCGAUCAUGGCCUUUGGCUAGAACUGUUUUUCCUGACCUAUGGGAAGAUGCAGAAGCUGAAGUCAGCAGAAUAAAAUGAAGUUGCUUCUGUCAAGGCUCUACCACUUUGAACUUAAAGAAAACAGGGAUUAUGGUGGACGGCAUCAUGUGCCCACAAGCCUGGCACAGACCUACUCCCGGAAGACUGCCAGAGCCAUGGCGUGUGCACAGCUGCCCACCGAGCAAAAAUAAACUCCUGUGCCUCCUGUACUUGUCAAACUGAGAAGCUUCGCACAGAUCCUUAAAAUACCCGGACAGCUCCACACUUCUCUUUGCCUGGAAAGGAACAAUCAGAAACCAGUGAGGUCCCCAGUUUGGGGUGCAUCUGUGGGAGCAGGGCCAACAAGUAAAUGCACUCAGUUGUCCGUCUCUGAUGUCCCUUCUGCCUACUUUGAAUCUGCUAAUUUUUUCACAUAUUAAGAUAAAGACAAACUGCAAUAAAAAAAUAAAACAUGCCAA